rnacentral:rRNA from 1 species
AAACGACUCUCGGCAACGGAUAUCUUGGCUCACGCAUCGAUGAAGAACGUAGCAAAAUGCGAUACUUGGUGUGAAUUGCAGAAUCCCGUGAACCAUCGAGUUUUUGAACGCAAGUUGCGCCCGAAGCCUUUUGGCCGAGGGCACGUCUGCCUGGGCGUCAUACA